AUGAACGCUAGCGGCAGGCCUAAUACAUGCAAGUCGAACGGUAACAUGAGUAGCAAUACUUGAUGACGAGUGGCGCACGGGUGCGUAACACGUAUGUAAUCUUCCCACAACUGGGGGAUAGCCCGGAGAAAUCCGGAUUAAUACCCCAUAACACAACGAAGUGGCAUCACUUUGUUGUUAAAUCUCCGGAGGUUGUAGAUGAACAUGCGUCCGAUUAGCUAGUUGGCGGGGUAACGGCCCACCAAGGCAACGAUCGGUAGGGGUACUGAGAGGUUAAACCCCCACACUGGAACUGAGACACGGUCCAGACUCCUACGGGAGGCAGCAGUAAGGAAUAUUGGACAAUGGAGGCAACUCUGAUCCAGCCAUGCCGCGUGAAGGAUGAAGGCGCUAUGCGUUGUAAACUUCUUUUGAACGGGAAAAAACCCCUUUACGUGUAAAGGGUUGAUUGUACCGUUAGAAUAAGGGUCGGCUAACUUCGU
rnacentral:rRNA from 1 species